CAAAACAAGCGAUGUGGAGCAAACCCCCUAAAAAAUAGGUCUCAGUUCAGAUUGCAGGCUGCAACCCGCCUGCAUGAAGUCGGAAUUGCUAGUAAUCGCGGAUCAGCAUGCCGCGGUGAAUACGUUCCCGGGCCUUGUACACACCGCCCGUCAAGCCAUGGAAGCCGGGAGUGCCUGAAGUGCGUGACCGCAAGGAGCGUCCUAAGGCAAUACCGGUGACUGGGGCUAAGUCGUAACAAGGUACC
rnacentral:rRNA from 1 species